AUCGGAGCGGCGCGUCCAGGACUGUCCACCCUGAGAAUGGUAUCGGUGAGCUCAAUCUCAGGAUAGUCAGCCCAUGAGGCGUCGCUCGCC
rnacentral:pre_miRNA from 1 species